UACGGAGGACCCGAGCGUUAUCCGGAUUUAUUGGGUUUAAAGGGUGCGUAGGCUGUUUAUUAAGUUAGAGGUGAAAGCUCGAUGCUCAACAUCGAAAUUGCCUCUGAUACUGGUAGACUAGAGUAUAGUUGCGGAUGGCGGAAUGUGUGGUGUAGCGGUGAAAUGCUUAGAUAUCACACAGAACACCGAUUGCGAAGGCAGCUGUCCAAGCUAUUACUGACGCUGAUGCACGAAAGCGUGGGGAGCGAACAGG
rnacentral:rRNA from 1 species